AUGAAUGCAAUGUUGGACCAUUUAGAAUAGGUUGCGAGUAUGAAAGAACCCUGGCUUAAGUAUAUAUGUUUGGUUUUUACUUAUCUGAGUGAUGCAUGCCGUGCUGGUUUAUGUUAAUGAUACUCUUGUAUAAAACCAAAAUUUAAAACAAAAAGUUUCAAAUUACCAAAGAAAAUUACUUUAUUUGUUCAAAACUCAAGAAUAAGAAAAUUAUUUAAAUAAAUGUGUGAUUAAAGAAAUUGAAAGCAAAUGUUGUUUGUUUGCAUAAAUUAAAACAAUUUUUCUGAACCAGCAAGCAUUUUUCCACUCGAGAAGAACAUGUGGCCGACUCAAACCUGGAAAGAGCAAAAGUGGACAUUCAUUUCAAUUCAUUGUCUUCAUUGUACAUAGAAUAAAACACGCAUACAAUUAUUUUUUUUAAUAAGAACACAUCUAAAUAUAAAACGCGAGUAAACAUUUAAGAUUAAAAUGACAUACCUUAUGACUCCAACAGUUCAAGGUUGUCAAAAACUUCUUUAAAAACAACUCUCAUAGUUUUUUUCCUGAGGUUUGCAACAUGUGUUUAGAAAGGUAAGUUACCCAUUGGUCUGCUAAAACCAUCUCGAAGCUGUCUCCUCCAAAAGAUGUGUCUUGCUUCAACUAAUGUAAGCUUUUAACUUGAACACGCCAAUUGGAUUUAUAAGGUCUGAGUUUUGAGAGCGGAGUAGACAUUCUUAGGUUGUUUUGCGUAAUGUGAUAUGGUUUUCAAGUUUUGGAGAUGAGAUAUAUAUAGUUGGCAAAUCGAAAGGAUAUACACAUAAAAGAUUUGGUUGGUUAUGAUUUUGAGGCAUUGAAAAACGAAUAUACGAUUUUGAUUUAUUUAAAUUAUAAUAAUAGCCGGAAUAUUUUUUUAAAAAAAAUUAGGCAUACGUGAUUAGCAAGAUUUGAAUAUAAGAUGGAUAUUGUGUUAAUUGAUUGAUAUCAUUGCUUCGAAAUAGGAAUUUGUUUUGGAAUGUAAUUCCGUUUAGGAAAUAAAAAUAAAUGUUCUGUUUUGAUUAUGUGCAGCGUAAAAUCUACUAAUACUAACUUUCAAAAAUCUAAGGAUAUCAACUAAGCCGAACACACCAUGAUACCAAACCGAGAAACCCAAAAUAUGUUACUUAAUAUUGAUCAUAAUAUAUAUUUUGAUACAAACCAUGAUACCAAACCGAGAAACAAAUAGAUAGAUGAAAACAAUUUUAAGAUGCGAA
rnacentral:lncRNA from 1 species